rnacentral:rRNA from 1 species
GAUGAACGCUGGCGGCGUGCCUAAUACAUGCAAGUCGAGCGAACGGACGAGAAGCUUGCUUUUCUGAUGUUAGCGGCGGACGGGUGAGUAACACGUGGAUAACCUACCUAUAAGACUGGGAUAACUUCGGGAAACCGGAGCUAAUACCGGAUAAUAUUUUGAACCGCAUGGUUCAAAAGUGAAAGACGGUCUUGCUGUCACUUAUAGAUGGAUCCGCGCUGCAUUAGCUAGUUGGUAAGGUAACGGCUUACCAAGGCAACGAUGCAUAGCCGACCUGAGAGGGUGAUCGGCCACACUGGAACUGAGACACGGUCCAGACUCCUAAGGGAGGCAGCAGUAGGGAAUCGUCCGCAAUGGGCGAAAGCCUGACGGAGCAACGCCGCGUGAGUGAUGAAGGUCUUCGGAUCGUAAAACUCUGUUAUUAGGGAAGAACAGAUGUGUAAGUAACUGUGCACAUCUUGACGGUAACUAAUCAGAAAGCCACGGCUAACUACGUG